UGGGGAAACAAGACAGUACAGAGCGGCUACGGCCAAUUUGAUAAAGAUAUGAAACGCUUCCAAGAAAACCUUCUACGAUUAUGUUAUAGGAUCCCGUACCCCAAACCGACACAGGUGGUCAGGGUGAGUAACCCAAGGCGCUCGAGUGAUUCAUGGCUAAGGAACUAGGCAAAUUAGCCCCGUAACUUCGGGAGAAGGGGCGCCUACUUGUUUUGGCAAGAGGCCGCAGCGAAGAAGUCCAGGCGACUGUUUAACAAAAACACAUGGCUAUGCGAACUCGAAAGAUUCAGUAUAUAGCCUGACACCUGCCCGGUGCUGGAAGGUUAAGAGGGGGAGUUAACUUCGGUGAAGCUCUGAAUUGAAGCCCCAGUAAACGGCGGCCGUAACUAUAACGGUCCUAAGGUAGCGAAAUUCCUUGUCGGGUAAGUUCCGACCUGCACGAAUGGUGCAACGAUCUGGACGCUGUCUCGGCCAUGAGCUCGGUGAAAUUGAAGUAGCGGUGAAGAUGCCGCUUACCCGCAACGGGACGAAAAGACCCCAUGAACCUUUACUGCAACUUAACGUUGGCCGUUGGCCAGGAGUGUGUAGGAUAGGCGGGAGACUGUGAAGGAGCGUCGCUAGGCGUUUUGGAGUCAUUGUUGAAAUACCGCCCUCUCCUGUUCGACGGUCUAACGAGUGUAAACUCGGACAUUGUUUGGUGGGUAGUUUGACUGGGGUGGUCGCCUCCAAAAGAGUAACGGAGGCUUUCCAAGGUUCCCUCACGACGGUCGGCAAUCGUCGGAAGAGCGCAAUGGCAUAAGGGAGCCUGACUGCGAGAGAGACAUCUCGACCAGGCACGAAAGUGGGACAUAGUGAUCCGGUGGUACCGCAUGGAAGGGCCAUCGCUCAAAGGAUAAAAGGUACUCUGGGGAUAACAGGCUGAUCUCCCCCAAGAGCUCAUAUCGACGGGGAGGUUUGGCACCUCGAUGUCGGCUCGUCACGUCCUGGGGCUGG
rnacentral:rRNA from 1 species